rnacentral:misc_RNA from 1 species
AACGCACCUUGCGCUCCUUGGUAUUCCGAGGAGCAUGCCUGUUUGAGUGUCAUUUGACUUAUCAAACCACCUCAUCUGCUUGGUUGGUGGUGGCUUUGGAUGUGGGGGUCUUUGCAGGCUUUGAACAAAGGUCGGCUCCCCUGAAACGCAUUAGUGGCAUCUGAGCUGCUACUAUAGGUGUGAUAAAUUAUCUAUGCCUUUGGUAUGCCGCAUGAACGGAUUGCGCUGCUCACAACGAAUAUUUGACAAACUUGACCUCAAAUCAGGUAGGACUACCCGCUGAACUUAA